GCCGGUAUAGCUCAGUUGGUAGAGCAACUGAUUCGUAAUCAGGAGGUCGGAGGUUCAACUCCUCUUACCGGCACCA
rnacentral:tRNA from 1 species